rnacentral:rRNA from 1 species
UACGUAGGGUCCGAGCGUUGUCCGGAAUCAUUGGGCGUAAAGCGCGUGUAGGCGGCCCGAUAAGUCCGCUGUGAAAGUCCAGGGCUCAACCCUGGAAUGCCGGUGGAUACUGUCGGGCUAGAGUCCGGAAGAGGCGAGUGGAAUCCUGGUGUAGCGGUGAAAUGCGCAGAUAUCAGGAGGAACACCAAUGGCGAAGGCAGCUCGCUGGGACGGUACUGACGCUGAGACGCGAAAGCGUGGGGAGCAAACAGG